ACUUUUUUUUUGCUUUUUAGGGCCACACCUGCAGCAUAUGGAAGUUCCCAGGCUAGGGGGUAAUUGAAACUGCACCUGCUGGCCUGUGCCACAGCCAGGGCAAUGUGGGAUCUGAGCUACAUCCACAACCUACACCACAGCUCACAGAAACACCAGAUCCUUAACCCCCUGAGCAAGGCCAGUUAUCGAACCCACGUCCUCAUGGAUACUAGUCAGUUUCAUUACCACUGAGCCACAACAGGAACUCCCAGAUAACUUUUAAGAUAGCUUAAAGAAAAGAAGAUGCAGCAAAUAUAUCUGGGAUACAUAGAAUUGAAUGGGAAUUUUGUCAACUUGCUAGUUUGGUAGGUUAACAGUCAGACAAGCUAAAAUCCACAUUAUCUUUGCUAUAACUGACAGCUAAUCAGAUACCUAAUUUUACCUUAGCUCACAUUAUAGGGUCAGUGGUCUUUGGGGGUGAGAAGCCUUUAUUUCUUGCUUGAAGUCUUAGGUGCCUAAGGCAUGGGAUGAUUUAUUUUAUGGAUAAAGAAAUGUAGGAUGGGCUUGAGGGAGACAUGAAGUGACUCAAGAAUUUGUGGGUCAUCAGGAGAUUCUGAUGGCACUCUUUCAGUGACCCUGCACCCCUCUUUCAUUCUUCAUCUUCCCUGCCCUAUAAAAUCACCAAGUCCUCCUUUCAUCUCCUACAGGACAGGUUAACUUUCACAUUUUGUUCCUUUAAAUUGUAGCUUCUAAUCCAAACAGGUAUAUCAAUAAUUUUCCCCCAAAAAAGGAUAUUUUUCCUUCAAGUAGGAGAAAUUCCUGUGUAAACUGUUGAGAGAAUACUGUGUUCAAAACAGACUCAUAGAUAUAGAGAGUAAACUGGUGGUUGCCAGGGAGGUAAGAGUUGGGUGUUGGCAAAACAGGUGAAGGGGAUUAAGAGGUACAAACUUCCAGUUAUAAAAUAAAUAAGUCAUAGGGAUGUAAUGUACAGCACAGGGAUAUAGUCAUUAAUAUUGUAAUAGCUUUAAAUGGUGACAGGUAGUUACUAGACUUAAUGGUGAUCAAUUCAUAAUGUAUAUAAAUGUCAAAUCACUAUUUGUGCACCUGAAUCUAAUAUAAUAUUGUAUGCCAACUAAACUUCAAAAAAAAAGAAAGAGAAUAUUAUGUUAUCUUAGCUCUCCAGGGUACAUUUGAAAUGCUAGUAAUUUACAGGUCUUCCUUUCUCUGAUUGCAUAAUCGUAAAGCUUUAGAAAGUAGGAUAUAAGGAGCAGCUGAAGCUCAGCUAUAGUCAUGCGACCAUCUUCAUCACCUUGUGAAUCAAGGCCAUGACCAGAAUAUUUUUUGGUAAUAGCAUCCUUGAUAAUGAUGCACAGAAUAGUCAAUUAUCCAGCCUUUUCAAAGAUCUAUCCUCUUCUCUUGUUAAAGAGUCGUCCUUUUUUAAAUUUUAUUGAAUUAUAGUUGAUUUACAAUGUCGUGGUAUUCCGCUGUACAAAAAAAGUGAUUCAGUUAUACCUAUGUACAUAUCCAUUUUCUUUCAGAUUCUUUUCCCAUAUAGAUCACCACAGAAUAUUGAGUAGAGUUCCCUGUGUUAUAUAGCAGGUCCCAAUUGGCCAUUGGCCAGUCAUUCCAUAUACUUAAGUGUGCAUAUACCAACCCAAGACUCCCAGUCCAUCCCUCCCCACCCCACCUGUCCCCUUUGAUAACUAUAAGUUUGUUUUCAAAGUUUGUGAUUCUGUUUCUAUUUGGCAAAUAAGUACAUUUGUAUCUUUUUUUAGAUUUCGCAUGUAAAUGAUAUAUGAAAUUUGUCUUUCACUCUCUAACUUCACGUAGUAUGAUAAUCUCUAAGUUCAUCCAUGUUUUCUGAAAUAAGCAUUAUUUCAUCAUUUUUAAUGGUUGAGUAAUAUUCCCCUGUAUAUAAGUACCACAUCUUUUUUUUUUUAUAAAUUAUUACUUGUUUGCUACAAGGUUAAAAAAAUGUUUUUAACCAGCACUCUAUCAAGGGUUUAGGAAGGCAGGAGGACUAGUUUUUAUCCCCCUAAAAGAGCAGUUAAUAUGAAGACUAUGCUCUCUUUCUUUUUUAAGGUAAAAUCAUUUACAGUAGGGAGAGAGUAAUGGAGGGGAGAGCACAAUGGUGUAAGGGAUCAUGGGAUGAGAGGGAGGUAAAGACGUUUAGUGCCUCUUAUGAAUGCAAAAUCUGAAAAGGUGGAAAAAUUCCUAAUGUACAUGUGUGCUAUCUAAAACCCCUUCAAGGUAUCUUUAAAAUUUAAGUUUUAUUCAUCAACCCAGUAAACACUGCUGUUUCUUUAUAUGUUAUACCACAUAAAGAUUAGACCAUAUGGAGCCUCAGGUGUUAUAUGUAUUGCAAGAUUAUAUGUAAUAAGACUUUAUAUAUAUGUAUGGUUUUUUCAACAACAAGCUCUUAUUUAUCUUCACAUCUUCCACAACACCAAGCACAGUAUUUUGCACAUGGCAAGUAUUCAGUAAAUAUUCACUAAAACCACACAAAGAAGUAUGCUUCUCAAAUUUGUGUUUACUAACCUGGAAGCAUUGUGAUAUGUUGGAAAGAGUACAGAAUGGGUAACAUGAAAAAAAUCUCAGCUCUACUCCUUGGUUCAUUAAACUUUAGAACAUUCAACAAGUUCUUUCUUUCCUGGAAUCAGGUUCCUUCUCUGGAUCGUGAGGUCAUUGACUGGGUCAUCUCUUACUGUCCUUUGAAUAUUCUGAGUCCAACCCUAUAACCUUACAAGUUUCCAGGUAGUUUUAUUUGGCGUGGAUAGAAUAAGCAUUAUUUAGCCCCAAAUUCCAUCAGUUUUGCUCUGGAGUUCUAUAAGACUAUAUUUGGUUUCCCAUUGUUUAUUGUUUUAAGAUAAACAGCUGAGAGAAUAUUCUGAAAGAAGAGUGAUGGGAAGGAUCUCUUGUAAUUUAUGCCACAAUUGUCUAAAUUACUAGAGGUGAUAAAAUAGCCCCAGUGACAAUUAUAGCUAUGGUAUAUUCAGUACUUAUUAUGAGCUUUAAGCACUGUGCUAGUCAUUUAAGAAAUAUUUUCUCUUUUGCCUAUAAUAAUCCUGAUAAGUGGGCCUCAUUGUUUUGGUUGCAUAGGUAUCUCUCCUAGUCAACACUGCUUAAAAUCAGUGUAACAAUCAUGAGCAAGAGUGCUGGAGGUCAUUUGGGAUUAGGAGUUAAGAAGGCAUCCUGUUCUUCCUUAGAUGGUAAUCCAUAGAGUCUCAGCAAAGACAUUGUGCAAAUUUGCAUUCAUAAAUGUGUACUUGUAAGUAUGCUAUUAUUAGUAGUUUUUUUUAAAGGAAUAGCUAUCUCUAAAAGAGAAACUUCAGGAGUAUUUGAGUGGAUCUGACUUGCACUAAUGAAUUUUACAAGGUAUAUCCUUUGUCCUAUUUUUUCAGCUGGUUCUAUUGGAAUUGGCUCUUCCUUACAAAUAGAGGAACUAAAGAUUUAUUGUCCUCAGAACAUGUGGAAAUUAGAAGAUGGACUAAUGGAAUCCAUUAAUAUCCUUUCAACAAUUAGAUGAAUUGUCGAUCAAUACAGUAUAUUAAUAGAGUCAAACUGAUUUAUAUAAAUAUCCCACUGAGACAGCCUCAGGAAGAUAACACUAGUCUGAAUUGCCUUGAAAAGGACAAAAACAACUUACUUACAAGACAAAGGGCUCCUUCCCACUUUGUAUUUUAACAGUUUUAAAGCGAAAAGUAGAAAUAAAAUAAGUUAGCCUAUAGUGCUUAAUGAUAACAUACCACUUCUGAUUGAAAACUGAACAAAAGUAGCAAAGUGAACAGCAUUUUGUAAUAAAUUGGUUCAUUGUCAUGCAUUCCACAGUUAAAUGUUUGUAUUUUUUUAAAGAUUUUAGUAAUAAUUAUGUUUUUAGUUUAGAUUCCCCUUUUCAUUUUCAAGUAACUCUGAAUAAAGGGGCAGAUUAAACAUGAUUGAUAUAACAGUUACUCUCCCUGUACGCAUUCUCCAUAAACCUCAAAGCCUAACCUCAAAAGAUAAAAAAUAGAAUACCAAAGGAAAAUUAUGGCAAAACUACUUUGUGCUAAACUGGCAUCAGACAUAAAAAUAAAAUAAUGUCUGUAAAGCUUAAGGGACUAAUUAAGAUUUUAAUGCGGCCUCAUUGCUGGGAAAAUAUUAGGAUUGUCAUUCAAGAAUCCUGUGUCUCACAAAUUAAAACAAAAACAAUUGAGGUAGAGGGUCUAUUAAAAUGUUCCAGAAUUGAAAUUGAUUGAAAAUCUUUAAUUGUUUUAUAUUUGGAUCACAUUUUCUCAUUAUCAGUGAGCACCAUUAGGAAAAUAGAGAAUGGUAUGAACUGCCCACAUUCCC
rnacentral:lncRNA from 1 species